UCGAACGGAAAGGCCCUGCUUGCAGGGUACUCGAGUGGCGAACGGGUGAGUAACACGUGGGUGAUCUGCCCUGCACUUCGGGAUAAGCUUGGGAAACUGGGUCUAAUACCGGAUAGGAACCAUCUUUANUGUGGUGGUUGGAAAGUUUUUUCGGUGUAGGAUGAGCUCGCGGCCUAUCAGCUUGUUGGUGGGGUAAUGGCCUACCAAGGCGGCGACGGGUAGCCGGCCUGAGAGGGUGUACGGCCACAUUGGGACUGAGAUACGGCCCAGACUCCUACGGGAGGCAGCAGUGGGGAAUAUUGCACAAUGGGCGCAAGCCUGAUGCAGCGACGCCGCGUGGGGGAUGAAGGCCUUCGGGUUGUAAACUCCUUUCGCUAGGGACGAAGCUUUUUGUGACGGUACCUAGAUAAGAAGCACCGGCUAACUACGUGCCAGCAGCCGCGGUAAUACGUAGGGUGCGAGCGUUGUCCGGAAUUACUGGGCGUAAAGCGCUCGUAGGUGGUUUGUCGCGUCGUCUGUGAAAUUCUGGGGCUUAACUCCGGGCGUGCAGGCGAUACGGGCAUAACUUGAGUGCUGUAGGGGUAACUGGAAUUCCUGGUGUAGCGGUGAAAUGCGCAGAUAUCAGGAGGAACACCGAUGGCGAAGGCAGGUUACUGGGCAGUUACUGACGCUGAGGAGCGAAAGCAU
rnacentral:rRNA from 1 species